UUUGUUGAUGCUCAAGGGCGGCAAGGGCAAGUUCUUCAGCAAGUUGCCCUGCAUGUUGAUCGGCGGCGCGGCUUCGAUGGCCGUCAGCAGUGC
rnacentral:tRNA from 3 species